GACUGUGGGGAGCCUGGAGGAGUCUGCCUGCUGCCGUGCAGAGUAAGCAGUCUGGCUGAGGCUGCAGUGCAGCCCGAUCGGGGCGCCUGGCCCCACGCCAUGAAUAUCACUCCAGAUUAGAUCGAAUCAGCCAGCACUGAUCACCUGUUGGUUUAAAAACAAAAACAAACAAACAAAAAAACUCUUUCUUGGAGCAAUAUUUUAAAUAUGAAUUUGACUACAAGCUGUAUUUCCAUGUGAAGCAGUUUUCGGUGGAAACUUGGGUUGAACCAGAACAGGAACGAGGUUUUAACUCAGACAUCUCCAAGCCUUUCUGCAGUGAAAGAGCUGCUCCUGCACACCGACAAUCAUGCUUCCUGCUGCAGAAUUGAACUGACAGGAGCGAUGGAGGAUCCCCAGAGGGAUGACAUCUGGGCCCCUGCUCAGGACGGGGUGAUGGGGAGCCACAGCGAAAAUUUGACAUUCCUUCCACCUGAUGUAGGAUAGAAGUGGUUUGUUAACAUGGAUCCUCCUUUAAAGGAAUCCGAAGAGCCUCCCUUGUAUAGUUUUGUUUCCUAAAUUGUGUAUUUUUCUCAUUUUUAUGGUAUGUGGUAAAGAUGAAAUAUGACUCUGGGGCUGUUUCGCUCCCUAUCUGUGUGAUUUUUUUAAUACUAUGAUAGAAACGCUCGGGACUCUAAGCCUUGAUGAUAAGUUCACGUUCUUUGGGAGGACACAAAAGUAGCGCCGAACGCCACAAAGCACCUCGCGACAGAGCUGACAGAUUGGAGCUGUACAGACCCGCAUGUCUGCAUCGUUUACAACCUCCACAGGGCCGAGAAAACCUGCAGCAGCAUGUCAUCCACUUGUCCACUAUAUACCAAAGCAGGAUUUUAUUUCCCUAUCUUCUUUUUCUUUUUUUUCUUUUCCAGUGUUUGUACCAUUAUGUUUUUCCACACACUCUCCAGGACUUCCGUAAUGAACAUGUUCUAAUAUUAUCUUAAACUCACACUGCUAGGGGCAAACAUUUCAGAAGGGGAAAAGAAAUAAAUGAUCAAUAUUACCCAUAAGCCAAGUACAUAGGUUUUCCAGAAACACACCCUGACACUAAAGUCUGCCGGAACUCAUCAGUCAGUUUGUCCCUAUGUUCCUUCAUUGUCAGAUCCACCUUUAACCUACAGCAGCUGAUCUUGUCUUCACACACUAAACUGCUGAAACCUACUUUCUCAAACUCGACAGUAUUUACUGAGGCUAAGAGUCCCCGAUUCCCACGCAGUUACUAGAUGCUUUGUAGUACACAGUAAUUUAACAAUUUUUUAACCUUGCUUUAAUAAAAAAAAAAUUUGUAUUUUUUUUUUUGCUUCUUUUUUUGUUUUCCUUUUGCUUUGCCAGUAUAUUAAAGUGUAAUCAUGUGCGUUGUGAUAUAGAAGUAGCUGUAGAAACCGCAUUGUUUCCUUGUGGUAAGUGAUUGAGAUGCUGCCACGGAUUUGAGACACUGAUGAAUGGUGCUAUUUUGGACUUUAAUCUGCUCCUUGGUAAGGUAGCCGAGAUGGUUUUUAUUUCAUAUCUCUUCACGUCUGGAGAAGGUGUUUGGUUCUUUGUCGUAUGGCUGUUGUAACUUGGUCUGGAUUGACCCCCCCCUCCCUUUCCUCCUCUCCUCUCCCCUCCUCCCGCCCCUUCCCUUCUCCCACUGUCGUUUCUGUGCGGCUUUCUCUUUGGAUUAAAAAAAAAAAAAAGACACUAACAAUAACUAUGAAAAACAUUUUUCUCUAAGGAAAUGAUCUCUUUUAACACGACGAUCACUAAGAACAGCAGGAGCAAUCACAAAACUGCAAUUAUUAAUGUUUUUCCCUUUAAGGUCAAGAGCUGAUACGACUGCUUAGUCGCUCGUACUGGCACUAGAUAAUUUGGCAGCAGCGACAUAGUAUACCAUCUAUGAGGAUUUACUCUUUGGUAGUACUGUCAGGGACCUGUCUCUAGGAAUGUACACUUAGAUACUAAAAGAAUGGGGGGAAAAAUAAGAUAAUGGGAUGUUGGCCAGAGUUGUUUUCCUUUGAGGUGUCUUUGGCUUAAUAUGUUCAUAUGUUCACCUGGAGAAGGGCACAGAAGGAAUUGAAAGCCUUUCUUGUUGGAUAACACAGAAAUCAUACUUUUUUUUUUUUUUUUGGGAAAUUGUCCACGUACAGGUUGGUUCAAGGUUACCAAUCAGCUGCAUAGAUUUCACCAGCUGGUAUUUAGGAAAUGCUUCUAGCAGCCAAGACCGUCACAUCUUACAGCACACGAUCUGAUCAUGCGCUUUCCUAAGCUGAAAAUGUAGCACAGAUGAAUUAGUUUUCAUCAAUUAUUUUUUUUUAAGCAAGUGGUUUUGUUAAUGACUUGUAGGUCACCUUGAGGAUUAAAAAAAUAAACAAAAAGCUUUUCAUUUACUUUGGGUAAUUCCGUAGCAAAGUCUCAUCCUUCAGUAUUUGCAGUUUUGUCUUUGCUUCCAGUUUCGAACAUUAUACUUUAAACAAUCUCAAUUGACCAACUUGAAAGCCCACUUUAGUUUCUUUUGUCUUCCAUUUUAAUUUUUCGCCACUAUAGUGGGAACCUUCCCAGCUUGCUCUAGAUCUUCCCUAGUGCAUCAGCUGCAUGCUUUCCGCUUCGUUUCGUUUUCAUCUCCAUCUUGACUGUUCGCAUUUUCUCUUGUAAGCUAGGUAUCCUAGCUCUUGUAAAUAGCAUAGAUUAGGUAGGGUCUGCUGUACUUAUGUUGAAAUGCUAUAACUAUUGGUGUAAGACAAAAAAAAGUCAGCUUGUGAUCAUUAAAGAAGCACUCUGUAUUGUAUAAGUAAUUUUGACGAUUUAAGCAGUAGUUCAAUAAACUUGCAAGCUCUUAA